CCGAGGGAAUUUCUUGUUUUUCCAUGGGGGGUGUUUAGUUCGUAAUCGAAAUUAGAAUCGGAAUGAGAAUGGCCAUAUUUUUUGAAAAAGCAUUUGGUUCAUGAACAGAAUCAGAAUGUAUAUUUGAAUCAUUAGAAGAAGAGAGUUAAAAUUGAAUUUUAAGAGAAUUGGACCAUAAUUCUCAUUUCAUCCUAAAAUCAGAAUGAGACCUCCAACCAAAUGGUUGGAACAAGAGUC
rnacentral:lncRNA from 1 species